UAGGUGAGGGUUGUCACAUCUAUGUUACCGGCGUGGAUGAUUGAACUCAUUCUUCUCAUUCGCCAAAGAAUUUCCCCCCAACAGAAGACGUGCUAGGCAAACAGAACUUGAAGCAUUGGAAGUGAAUGUCUUUGUGGAGGAGGAUGACCAUAUCGAUGUGAAUAAUGAUUAUGUUGACGACGAUGUCGGUGUGGAGAAUGACGAUGUCGAUAAUGAUAUUGGUGUAGAGGCUGACCUCAUGGAUGACGAUAUUGGUGUAGAUGAUGACAACACAUAACCAGUUUCGGGUGCUCCAGAAGAUCCUUCGUUGCUAAUUAGCUUUCGUAACCAUGUUGCUGCUGUUUGGAAGAAAAAGAAAUGGUUAGUGGUGUCUCACAUAAGAGACCAACGGCAUCCAACAGAAGAUGUGCUAGGCAAACAGAACCUAAAGUAUUGGAAGUGAAUGUCCCUGUGGAGAAGGAUGACCAUGUCGAUGUGAAUAAUGAUUAUGUUGAUGACGAUGUUGGUAUGGAGGAUGACAACGUCGAUAAUGAUAUUGAUGUAGAGGCUGACCUCAUGGAGGACGAUAUUGGUGUGGAUGAUGACAACACAUAACCAGUUUCGGGUGCUCUAGAGGAUCCUUCAUUGCUAAUUAGCUUCCGUAACCAUGUUGCUGCCGCUGUUUUGAAGAAAAAGGAAUGGGAACCUCUUAAAUGUUUGAAUCGUUCUCGAAAGCUUGCCGAGUGGCCAUGGAUGUCACCAAUAGUCAAAAAUGCUUGGUGGAGACAUUUAGUUGAUCAGUUUAGUCUUAGUGUCCUUAUUGAUCACACAUAUCGGUAUGGCAAUAGAGUGGCAAUAUUUGCCUUUGUCGAAAGGUGGCAUCCAAAGACAAAUACAUUUCACAUGCCAGAUGGUGAGAUGACUAUCACGUUGGAUGAUGUGCGGACCAUACUUGGCAUUCCAGUCACUGGUAGGGCUUUGUCAUGUCCUAAGUCAACAAGAUACGAGGUUGCUGAACUAGUGAGUGCUACUUUGGGAGUGUCAGUGAAUGAUGCAUUUGCAUAAUUAGUUCAAUCUCGUGGGCAAUCCGUGAAGCUAGAGUGGUUAAGAAUCAUAUUUCAUGAAGUUAAAGAUACAAAUGAUGCAAAUUUCAUAUAAUACGCAGCCAAGCUUACUUGCUAUAUUUAUUAGGUUGUACCCUCUUCGCUGACAAGAGUGGGACUCGAGUACCCGUUGCUUACCUGCACAUGUUGACUAACAUUGAUGCUGUUAGCUCAUAUGUAUGGGGUGCUGCAGCUUUGGCAUUUCUGUAUAGGCAAUUAGGACUUGCUAGUAGGGCUGGUGUUAAGCAGAUUGCUAGUUACUUGAAGCUAUUAGAAGCAUGGAUUUAUGAGCUUGUUCGUUUAGGAAGGCCUCAUCCAAAUUUGUCCUAUUUUGAUGCACAACCUUGUGUUUGUCGUUGGAGUUCGUAGAGAGAUGGGGGUUUUACAGAAGACCACUUGCAGACAUUAUGAGAGUAGCUUGACAUAUUACGUGAUAAUGAGGUUAGGCAUUUUAUAAUAGUGUCAUAUUGUUAAAAAAAAAAAAAGGAUUUUAUAACUAACAUUAUGCAUUGCAUAUUUGUAGAUCAAGUGAGAUCCAUACUGUUUAUGUAGUACACACCAUCCGCUUUAUGAGGUUGCAUAUUAUAUUGGAUGUUUGAAAUGCUUUAAUAUUAUCGAACCCUAUCACCCCAAUACGGUUUUGCGAUAGUUUGGUAGGGUCUAAACCAUCCCACCAGCACCAUUAUCUCCUGUUCGAGCUACACGAGGCAGUAAACUAGGACAGUACAAAAUCAUGUAUCAAUACCAUGACACGAUAUGGGUGCAAUGGGAGAAUCAUGUGUUGUCCAUUAAUGCUCGUAGUGUGCCUGUACAGUAAAGCCCAUCUGAAUCUGUACGGGGUUACCGUUAGUAGUAUGCUCGUGUUUCGCACCGGGUUGUUCAAAAUCCUACGCAUCACUCUCAGUUUGAUGCACGUGUUCAACGUCCCGAGAAUGAUGUUAAUAUGGAUCCUGAGUGGGUAAGCGAAUUAUGAAUUAACUUAUUUCACUUUUAAGUGGUUCACAUAAAUCAAACACUAGGUACGGUUUUUAUGAAUUUCUUUUCAACGUAAUGAUGCUGCUUUCAGUGUUGGUGCUGCAGUCCAUAGGCUCGGUCGUGAUGAGUGUGUCUUGCACCCUGAUAUGUUGUAUGAAACCAUUGGUAGGAUGCUGCAAGUUCUUGAUGGACAGAGUUUGGGAUCUACAUCGACACGUACAGAGCAUCAAGUCUACUGUUGUAAACGUCGUAGGAUGGACCAUGCAUGAGGAGUGGGAUCUAGUUUUUUUUUUUUUUAUGUCAUAGAUAUGCGUUGACCGUACAUGAGAGUUGGGAUCUAGUUUUUGUUUGAUGGCAUAGUUUUUGUGAAUGCCUAGCCCGUAUAGAGUUUGGGAUAUACUUUUGUGUUGACCAUACAUGAGAGUUGGGAUCUAGUUUUUUUUUUUUUUUUUUUUUAUGGCAUAGUUUUUGUGAAUGCCUAGCCCGUAUAGAGUUUGGGAUAUACUUUUGCCUAAUGGCAUAGUUUUUGUGGAUGUCUUGAAUCUUUGGUAAACUAGAUGUUUGGUUAGACAAGUAAUAAAGUGUCAUACUUUUGUAUGAAUUUUAAACAAUUUCACAUUUAUUUUGUAUUCAA